AGUCGGAAUCCGCUAAGGAGUGUGUAACAACUCACCUACCAAAUCUACUAAAAACGGAUGGCGCCGGUGCCGCGGGCCCAUACCCGGCUGUAGUUCUUCCAAGGUGAACUUGGAAGGCCAAAGUGGAGAAGGGUUCCAUGGGAACAGCAGUUGAACAUGGGUCAGUCGGUCCUGAGAGAUGGGCGAGCGCCAUGCCGAGGGGCCCGGCAAUGGCCUCCCUUGCCCUCAGCCGAUCAAAGGGAGUCGGGUUCAGAUCCCCUAAUCCCGAGUGGCAGAGACGGGCGCCGCCAGGCGUCCAUUGCGGUAAGGCUACACACCCCGGAGAAGCCCGCGGAGGCCCCAGGGAGAGUUCUCUUUUUUGUGUGUAGGGCAGGGCGCCGAGGAAUGGGUUCGCCCCUAGAGAGGGGCCCGUGCCUUGGAAAGCGUCCGGGUUCCAGGCGACGGCCGGUGAGCGCCCGCUGUCCCUUGGACAAAAAAACCC
rnacentral:ncRNA from 1 species